AUGCGGCUCCUUUUUUCCCUUUCCUUUCUUCCAAAACUCUCCCGAGCCGUUCCUGCAAGUGGUUCUGUGACUCGGGAGCUGACAACAGCCGCAUGCAAAGGAACAAAGAACGAGAGUGACAAUUCAGAGUGCACGCAGAAAUGCAAGCCUGAAAAAGGAUUUAAAAGUUUGAUGGCUCUUUCUCCCUGGAAGAGAAAAUCCUAUUUCUCAGUGACGACUGAUUGGUUUGUGACUGCAAGGAGUCAGGAGGUGGAUGGCGAAGCAGAUUGGCGCAACACAAGAGCGUGCAGCAGAUAGCGGUCAGCGACUCUCUGGAAGUACUGAAGGUGUGGCUGGUUCUGCUGACCCCAACACGAGGUCCCUUCUGUGGGAGACUUGAGAGUGAGGUGGUGCCCACCAGAGUGAGACAAAGGACAUGAUCAGAGCACCUCUCAAGUGUUUUUCUUCAUCAAGACAAGGCAAGACUCAAAGACAGGAAGUGCGACCCAGUGAAGAAGCAUACUCUCACAACGUGGCACUACACUGGCAACCGUCGCUGUCAGCAAAACACCCCCUGUUCCGUCUGUCAACACCCAAGUGGAGAUAAGCUCACAAAAAGGUUAGUACGCAUCCUGACUUGAUUUAUUUUUUAGUCAUUUUUGGCCCAGUUUCUUCCUCUCCGCACUUCCUAGAACAACAAAAAGCCAGAGGCAGGUGUUGGGACAGCACUGGUUUUUCUCAUUUAGUCUGUGAGGCACCGUAAAAAACAAUCAAUGAUCAUGGAGCAUGCUCUGGAUUUGUCUAAGCAUAAGUCACUCAAAUACUAACAUGUGAAUUUAGUAAAGUUAGAGUCUGUGGAGUGGAGAUAAAUUACAGCAGCAAUUGAAGUUGAAUGUGAUAUAGAAAUCCAACCAGCAGAAGACUGUCUGGAAACAAUUAGUCAGAAAGCUGCUGACCCUCUAUUUCUUUAAAGAGUUAAACAUUUGGAUUGGUUAACUGGCAGCCACAAUAAUAGGCAUAUGCUCUAAUCUUUGAUCCGUAGCUGAAUUUGCAACUCUUUGUAUGAGAAGCAGAUCACAUAGAUUUGCAUAUUUUUAUGGAUCUAUAGGAAGAAAAAGAAGAACAAAAACUGCUCUUCCAAGAUGCCACUUUAAGAUCACACAGAGUGUCAUGGGUCUACCCAAGUACGCCAAUGUUCAGAGCCAUUGCAAGACUCUCAGAUUUUAUAAAUGGCCCUAAACUGUGACAUUCAUAUCUGGAGUUUAAAGAAAAUUCCUCCUAGAACAGAACUGAGGUUGCAUUGUAAGUCUUUGCAGAG
rnacentral:lncRNA from 1 species